CCUACGGGGGGCAGCAGUGGGGAAUAUUGGACAAUGGGGGGAACCCUGAUCCAGCCAUGCCGCGUGUGUGAAGAAGGCCCUCGGGUUGUAAAGCACUUUCAGUGAGGAAGAACGCCUGGUGGUUAAUACCCAUCAGGAAAGACAUCACUCACAGAAGAAGCACCGGCUACACUCCGUGCCAGCAGCCGCGGUAAUACGGAGGGUGCGAGCGUUAAUCGGAAUUACUGGGCGUAAAGCGCGCGUAGGUGGCUUGAUAAGCCGGUUGUGAAAGCCCCGGGCUCAACCUGGGAACGGCAUCCGGAACUGUCAAGCUAGAGUGCAGGAGAGGAAGGUAGAAUUCCCGGUGUAGCGGUGAAAUGCGUAGAGAUCGGGAGGAAUACCAGUGGCGAAGGCGGCCUUCUGGACUGACACUGACACUGAGGUGCGAAAGCGUGGGUAGCAAACAGGAUUAGAUACCCUAGUAGUC
rnacentral:rRNA from 1 species